rnacentral:rRNA from 1 species
GGGGGAUAUUGCACAAUGGAGGAAACUCUGAUGCAGCAACGCCGCGUGAGGGAAGACGGUUUUCGGAUUGUAAACCUCUGUCCUCGGUGACGAUAAUGACGGUAGCCGAGGAGGAAGCUCCGGCUAACUACGUGCCAGCAGCCGCGGUAAUACGUAGGGAGCAAGCGUUGUCCGGAUUUACUGGGUGUAAAGGGUGCGUAGGCGGCUCAGCAAGUCAGGUGUGAAAACUAUGGGCUUAACUCAUAGAUUGCACUUGAAACUGUGGAGCUUGAGUGAAGUAGAGGCAGGCGGAAUUCCCGGUGUAGCGGUGAAAUGCGUAGAGAUCGGGAGGAACACCAGUGGCGAAGGCGGCCUGCUGGGCUUUAACUGACGCUGAGGCACGAAAGCAUGGGUAGCAAAC